UGAGGAAUAUUGGUCAAUGGUCGCUAGACUGAACCAACCAAGUAGCGUGCGGGAUGAAGGCCCUCCGGGUCGUAAACCGCUUUUAGACGGGGAUAAAAGGGCGUACGUGUACGCCGUAUUGCAUGUACCGUCAGAAAAAGGACCGGCUAAUUCCGUGCCAGCAGCCGCGGUAAUACGGAAGGUCCGGGCGUUAUCCGGAUUUAUUGGGUUUAAAGGGAGCGUAGGCGGACUUUCAAGUCAGUGGUAAAAUCGUGUGGCUCAACCAUACCUCGCCAUUGAAACUGGAAGUCUGGAGUGCACACAGGGGUGCCGGAAUUCAUGGUGUAGCGGUGAAAUGCUUAGACAUCAUGAAGAACUCCGAUCGCGAAGGCAAGUGCCCGGGGUGCAACUGACGCUGAGGCUCGAAGGUGCGGGUAUCGAACAGGAUUAGAUACC
rnacentral:rRNA from 1 species